CAGUCGCCGCGGUAAAACGUAGGGUGCAAGCGUUAAUCGGAAUUACUGGGCGUAAAGCGUGCGCAGGCGGUUAUAUAAGUCAGAUGUGAAAUCCCCGGGCUCAACCUGGGAACUGCACUUGAGACUGUAUGGCUAGAGUGUGUCAGAGGAGGGUAGAAUUCCACGUGUAGCAGUGAAAUGUGUAGAUAUGUGGAGGAAUACCGAUGGCGAAGGCAGCCCCCUGGGAUAACACUGACGCUCAUGCACGAAAGCGUGGGGAGCAAACAGGAUUAGAUACCCGGGUAGUCCCUGUCUCUUAUAC
rnacentral:rRNA from 1 species